GACAGAGUGAGACUCCAUCUCAAAAAAUAAAAAUAAAAAAAAACAAGGAGAGAGAUAAUAUGAGGAGGGGUAGGGAUGCUGAGGCUCCUACUGGCCUCCCGCUCAGCUCACCCUCCCCUUCCUCGCCCAGCUGCGGUGUGAUCACGCAGGUAGUAGGCAGUGGAGCUCUCUGGGCCAGCAGCCUGGUCAGAACCCAAAGGUUCCUGCCCACAACGAGCCACACUCCAGGAUAGCCCUGGUGUCCCUUUAUUCCCUGGAGAAUUUGGGACCCCAUAUUUAGAAGAAUGUGUUGCUUGGUAGCUCCCAGAGAAAGGGGGUCUGAAGCCUGGCCUUUUUCUUCCCCAGAUGAAGUGGUUUUAAAGUUUGAUCGGAACCGUGUGCGUAUCCGGAACGUGGCCUACGACACGCUCCCCAUUGUGGUCCAUGGAAACGGUCCCACUAAGCUGCAGCUCAACUACCUGGGAAACUACGUCCCCAAUGGCUGGACUCCUGAGGGAGGCUGUGGCUUCUGCAACCAGGACCGGAGGGCACUCCCGGGGGGGCAGCCUCCCCCCCGGGUGUUUCUGGCCGUGUUUGUGGAACAGCCUACUCCGUUUCUGCCCCGCUUCCUGCAGCGGCUGCUACUCCUGGACUAUCCCCCCGACAGGGUCACCCUUU
rnacentral:sRNA from 1 species